rnacentral:rRNA from 1 species
UACGUAGGGUGCGAGCGUUGUCCGGAAUUACUGGGCGUAAAGAGCUCGUAGGUGGUUUGUCGCGUUGUUCGUGAAAUCUCACGGCUUAACUGUGAGCGUGCGGGCGAUACGGGCAGACUAGAGUACUGCAGGGGAGACUGGAAUUCCUGGUGUAGCGGUGGAAUGCGCAGAUAUCAGGAGGAACACCGGUGGCGAAGGCGGGUCUCUGGGCAGUAACUGACGCUGAGGAGCGAAAGCGUGGGGAGUGAACAGG